GAUGAACGCUGGCGGCGUGUCUAAUACAUGCAAGUCGAGCGAACAGAUGAGGAGCUUGCUCCUCUGACGUUAGCGGCGGACGGGUGAGUAACACGUGGAUAACCUACCUAUAAGACUGGGAUAACUUCGGGAAACCGGAGCUAAUACCGGAUAAUAUAUUGAACCGCAUGGUUCAAUAGUGAAAGACGGUUUUGCUGUCACUUAUAGAUGGAUCCGCGCCGCAUUAGCUAGUUGGUAAGGUAACGGCUUACCAAGGCAACGAUGCGUAGCCGACCUGAGAGGGUGAUCGGCCACACUAGAACUGAGACACGGUCCAGACUCCUACGGGAGGCAGAAGUAGGGAAUCUUCCGCAAUGGGCGAAAGCUUGACGGAGCAACGCCGCGUGAGUGAUGAAGGUCUUCGGAUCGUAAAACUCUGUUAUUAGGGAAGAACAAAUGUGUAAGUAACUAUGCACGUCUUGACGGUACCUAAUCAGAAAGCCACGGCUAACUACGUG
rnacentral:rRNA from 1 species